CAGAAAAUCAGGCCGUGGCUGAAAUACUGCAAGCCGCUGGUCGAUGCCCUCCUUGGCGGAGUGGAAAAACGAUUUGGGGAAAUGAUGUCUGAUCCAGAGUUGAUUGCUGCACCUAUUCUCCAUCCAAAGUUCAAAUCAUCUUGGACCACUGAUGAUGUCCUCCAGCUAGGCCUCGGAUACAUCAAGGAACAUCUUCCUGACUAUGAUGAACCUCUUCAGCAGCCGAAUAUCUCUUCAGGCACCUCCGAUGAAGAUUACUUCUUUUCCGGUAUGACGCACACAGGCAGCAAGGAAACCAGUAUCACCAAGCAACUUGAUACAUACCUGGCAUGUACAGAUGGACGUACGGACAGUUUAAAAACUUCCCCGGCUGUAGCCAAACUGUCGCUCAAAUUAAACACGGCACUACCCGCUUCUGCUGCAUGUGAAAGGCUCUUCAGUGCAGCUGGAUUGCUCUAAAGCCCAGGACGGGGGAGAAUUCAUUCACGAAACUUGGAAAAACAGCUACUACUUAAGUUGAAUAAGGCCUUCUUCAAGUUGGAAUAGUUGGACCAGGGUGACAGUUGUCACAACUAAAGACCAUGGUCACUCUAUUUGACAGUACAGUCCCAAGUGUUAAAAACUUUGGGUGAAGAAUAGCUGCAGCAAUCAGCUCUGGGACAUUGUCAUUUUAUUUCAUUCAUUGAGUUUGUCUUGCUGAAAGCAGUAUUGUAAAGGUAGAUUGCAGAGCAUUUGUAGUUCAAAUACAAUUGAUAGUACAUACAGUGUCAAUGCUUUUCCUCUGUUAACGUCUUUCCAUACUACACACGGACAGACACAGGAAGACAGACAUGGGGACAUGGGGAGACAGGCACGGAGACAGACAAGACAGACAUUGGGAGACCGGCACGGAGGUCUUUGAGGAGGCUCCAGUUCCCCGGUUAGUUUUAAUGAUUGUUAAUAAACACUGCAUCUGCAACA